rnacentral:rRNA from 1 species
ACGGAAGGCAGCAGUAGGGAAUCUUCGGCAAUGGGGGCGACCCUGACCGAGCAACGCCGCGUGAGUGAGGAAGGUUUUCGGAUCGUAAAGCUCUGUUGUAAGAGAAGAACGUGUGUGAGAGUGGAAAGUUCACACAGUGACGGUAACUUACCAGAAAGGGACGGCUAACUACGUGCCAGCAGCCGCGGUAAUACGUAGGUCCCGAGCGUUGUCCGGAUUUAUUGGGCGUAAAGCGAGCGCAGGCGGUUUAAUAAGUCUGAAGUUAAAGGCAGGGGCUUAACCAUUGUUCGCUUUGGAAACUGUUAGACUUGAGUGCAGAAGGGGAGAGUGGAAUUCCAUGUGUAGCGGUGAAAUGCGUAGAUAUAUGGAGGAACAUCAGUGGCGAAGGCGGCUUACUGGGCUUUAACUGACGCUGAGGCUCGAAAGCGUGGGGAGCAAACAGGAUUAGAUACCCUGGUA